GACGAACGCUGGCGGCGUGCCUAAUACAUGCAAGUCGAACGCUGAAGAGAGGAGCUUGCUCUUCUUGGAUGAGUUGCGAACGGGUGAGUAACGCGUAGGUAACCUGCCUUGUAGCGGGGGAUAACUAUUGGAAACGAUAGCUAAUACCGCAUAACAAUGGAUGACACAUGUCAUUUAUUUGAAAGGGGCAAUUGCUCCACUACAAGAUGGACCUGCGUUGUAUUAGCUAGUAGGUGAGGUAAUGGCUCACCUAGGGGACGAUACAUAGCCGACCUGAGAGGGUGAUCGGCCACACUGGGACUGAGACACGGCCCAGACUCCUACGGGAGGCAGCAGUAGGGAAUCUGCGGCAAUGGGGGGAACACUGACCGAGCAACGCCGCGUGAGUGAAGAAGGUUUUCGGAUCGUAAAGCUCUGUUGUAAGUCAAGAACGGGUGUGAGAGUGGAAAGUUCACACUGUGACGGUAGCUUACCAGAAAGGGACGGCUAACUACGUG
rnacentral:rRNA from 1 species